rnacentral:misc_RNA from 1 species
AACAACGCCGACGACAUCCCGAAGAGACCUGCAGCGAGCACUCGAGGCGAUCGGAGCGGACGAGCGGCGGACGAACACCUGGCUUGUGCGGAUCAGCCUGGUCCUCCUGCUGGCGGCUUGGGCGUGGCAGGAAUACGCUGGGCGGCCGCAGCCGAGCAGCCGAGGAAAGGGACGGACUGGCGACGAGGCUGGCGGUGCGCGAGUCUUCGUCUGGGCAGGAGCGGCAAUGGCGGUGUUGAAGCUCGCGACGCGGUGGUACUUUGUGCGGGCCAGGCGAACGAUAGACGAAGCGCUGCUGGAAGGCGCCGUUGGAGGUGGGAGGAGCGAAGGGACGGGAGGGAAGGAAAAGGCGAAGAAAGGCCGGCGAUGACAGCGGAGGCGGCCGUGAGGGGCUGCCGCUCGGGUGCGCUACGAGACGAUAUCCAUCGGCGACUUGAGAAACCUGUCGAGGCUGUCAGGUCAGCAGAACGAGGCGAAGCGUUUGCAAGGGAAGCUGUCGUCCUGGUUUCAUGACCGUCAAGCUCCUUUCCGAUGCGUUCAGCCCGUGUGGCCUCUUUUUCCCCGUUCCAGCUCCGUUCCGCAACAGUACCAGCCCGCGAAGCCGUUCCACCGCAGAAUGACCGGAAAGAUCUGCGCGAAGCGAGCAAAGUGGGCCAGAGAAACGAGGAGAGUGGGGGACUGGCCCGAGGGACUCCAGUGGCAAUUCUGGACCCGCAACAAGGGUUCUGGCGAGCAGCGA